rnacentral:sRNA from 1 species
UCUUUACCUCGGUUGAAGAAGACAACCUUCCCCGAACAGAGGAGGACCGGUCUUCGGUCAAGAGUAUAAGAGUAGCUGCACUCACCUGCUAGAACCUCCAAACAAGCUCUCAAGGUCCUGUUUUUUUUUGUUGUUGUUGUUGUUUUUGU